rnacentral:rRNA from 1 species
UAAUCCGACCUAGGCUCAUCUGAUAGCGCAAGGCCCGAAGGUCCCCUGCUUUCUCCCGUAGGACGUAUGCGGUAUUAGCGUUCCUUUCGAAACGUUGUCCCCCACUACCAGGCAGAUUCCCAGGCAUUGCUCACCCGUCCGCCGCUGAAUUCAGGAGCAAGCUCCUGUCAUCCGCUCGACUUGCAUGUGUUAGGCCUGCCGCCAGCGUUCAAUCUGAGCCAGGAUCAAACUCU